UUUAAUUGGGGAGAUUUUCCUUAACAUAGUAACAAAGAAGUGCAAAUUAGGUACUUCUUGUUGAAAAUAAUUUUCAGUUUUUUGCGAAAAAGCUAAUGUUGUGCUAAACUGCAAGAUGAAUACUUAUCAAGCAGAAACGUAAGUUGGCUUUAUUGAUCUUAUUUUUCUGACAAAAAAGAAAAUAACUCAUCGAAUCAAAGCUACGCUGGAGAUAACAGCAUAAUGAAAAUUAAGCGAUCCUAGCGACAUUUUCGUUUGUGACCUCGAUGUCGACUCUAGCUAUCUUUGUUGUGUAGAAGCUUCAUUUAGUUCGACUGUUCGUCGAUUAAAAGCUAACGUGAGUUGGGUUAAAAACGAUGUAAAUCAGUUUGGUUUCUAUCUAGUAAAAAAAAGAGAACUAAAAUGAUAAUUUUUUAGUAUGAGAAGAUCAAAAAUUAAAAGUCUCUGGUU
rnacentral:rRNA from 1 species